rnacentral:rRNA from 1 species
UACGUAGGGUGCGAGCGUUGUCCGGAAUUAUUGGGCGUAAAGAGCUCGUAGGCGGCUUGUCACGUCGGAUGUGAAAGCCCGGGGCUUAACCCCGGGUCUGCAUUCGAUACGGGCAGGCUAGAGUGUGGUAGGGGAGAUCGGAAUUCCUGGUGUAGCGGUGAAAUGCGCAGAUAUCAGGAGGAACACCGGUGGCGAAGGCGGGUCUCUGGGCCGUAACUGACGCUGAGGAGCGAAAGCAUGGGGAGCGAACAGG